UUCCGGUUGAUCCUGCCGGAGGCUACCGCUAUUGGAGUUCGAUUAAGCCAUGCGAGUCGAGAGUCUUAGGGACUCGGCGUACCGCUCAGUAACACGUGGGUAACCUGCCCUAUGCUGGGGAAUAACCUCGGGAAACUGAGAAUAAUACCCCAUAGUUCACCACGCCUGGAACGGUGGGUGGAUGAAAGCUCCGGCGGCAUAGGAUGGGCCUGCGACGUAUCAGGUUGUAGGGGGUGUAACGUACCCUCUAGCCAUCAACGCGUACGGGUGUUGGGAGACAUAGCCCGGAGAUGGAUUCUGAGACACGAAUCCAGACCCUACGGGGUGCAGCAGGCGCGAAAACUUGGCAAUGCGAGCAAUCGUGACCAGGGAACUCCAAGUGGCUGGGGUAAUACCCAGUUUUUUCUUGACUCUUCAAAGGUCUUGGAAUAAGGGGUGGGUAAGGACGGUGCCAGCCGCCGCGGUAAUACCGGCGCCUCAAGUGGUAGUCGCUUUUAUUGGGCCUAAAACGUCCGUAGCCGGUCUGGUGCAUUCGUGGGUAAAUCAACCCGCUCAACGGGUUGAAUUCUGCGAGCACGGCCAGACUUGGGACCGGGAGAGGUGUGGGGUACUCUCAGGGUAGGGGUAAAAUCCUGUCAUCCUGAGAGGACCACCUGUUGCGAAGGCGC
rnacentral:rRNA from 1 species